UACGUAGGGUGCAGGCGUUAAUCGGAAUUACUGGGCGUAAAGCGUGCGCAGGCGGUUUCUUAAGUCAGAUGUGAAAGCCCCGGGCUUAACCUGGGAACUGCGUUUGAAACUGGGAGACUUGAGUGUGGCAGAGGGGGGUGGAAUUCCCAGUGUAGCGGUGAAAUGCGUAGAUAUUGGGAGGAACACCAGUGGCGAAGGCGGCUCGCUGGACCGGAACUGACGCUGAGGCGCGAAAGCGUGGGGAGCAAACAGG
rnacentral:rRNA from 1 species